rnacentral:lncRNA from 1 species
UGUCAAACAAAAUCUUUCUCCCUUUCUUUCUUUCUUUCUUUCUUUCUUUCUUUCUUUCUUUCUUUCUUUCUUUCUUUCUUUCUUUCUUUCUUUCUUUCUUUCUUUCUUUCUUUCUUUCUUUCUUUCUUUCUUUCUUUCUUUCUUUCUUUCUUUCUUUCUUUCUUUCUUUCUUUCUUUCUUUCUUUCUUUCUUUCUCUCUCUCUUUCUUUCUUUCUCUCUUUCUUUCUCUCUCUCUCUCUCUCUCUUUCUCUCUUUCUCUCUUUCUCUCUUUCUUUCUCUCUUUCUUUCUUUCUCUCUUUCUUUCUCUCUUUCUUUCUUUCUCUCUUUCUUUCUAUCUCUCUUUCUUUCUUUCUCUCUUUCUUUCUCUCUCUCUUUCUCUCUCUCUUUCUUUCUUUCUUUCUUUCUUUCUUUCAUUCUUUCUUUCUUUCUUUCUUUCUUUCUUUCUUUCUUUCUAUCAAUCUUUCUUUCUUUCUUUCAAUCCUUCUUUCUUUCGGUCAAUCGUUCUUUCUUUCUUUCUUUCUUUCUUUCUUUCUUUCUUUCUUUCCCUGUGUGGGGUCUUUCUUUCUUUCUCUCUCUCUUUCUUUCUUUCUCUCUUUCUUUCUCUCUCUCUCUCUCUCUCUUUCUCUCUUUCUCUCUUUCUCUCUAUCUUUCUCUCUAUCUUUCUUUCUCUCUUUCUUUCUCUCUUUCUUUCUUUCUCUCUUUCUUUCUUUCUCUCUUUCUUUCAUUCUCUCAUUCUUUCUCUCUCUCAUUCUCUCUCUCUUUCUUUCUUUCAUUCUUUCUUUCUUUCUUUCUUUCUUUCUUUCUUUCUUUCUUUCUUUCUAUCUUUCUUUCUUUCUUUCUUUCUUUCUUUCUUUCUUUCUUUCUUUCUUUCUUUCUUUCUUUCUUUCUUUCUUUCUUUCUCUGUUUCAUGGAUUUCCUAACAUGAGUAAAUAUUCUUUAUGUAUAAUGGUACUAUACUAUUCCUUGAACUAAUAGUCUGUUUCUUUUGUAAUAGUUAAAGGAAUUGUUGAGGAUUGAAGAGGUAUAGGGGAUAAGGAAGGAUUUGUAACAGGGAAUGGAGGAGUUGAAGGGACACAGGGAAUAUGGAUUCUGGUGAGGUAAAAGGAGAGAGAUACCCUCUGCUGAGAGGCUAUCUUUAAAAAUGGGGUUCCUAAGAAAUGGGCCAACUAUGAUAGCCUGCGGGGAUGUACUCUUUGUUGACUGUUGUUGAAGGUACCCCAGAGCAGGUAAUCAUGGACCCUCCUGAGGGACAAGCCUC